rnacentral:rRNA from 1 species
AGUGAACGCUGGCGGUAGGCCUAACACAUGCAAGUCGAACGGCAGCACAGUAAGAGCUUGCUCUUACGGGUGGCGAGUGGCGGACGGGUGAGGAAUACAUCGGAAUCUACUUUUUCGUGGGGGAUAACGUAGGGAAACUUACGCUAAUACCGCAUACGACCUACGGGUGAAAGCAGGGGAUCUUCGGACCUUGCGCGAUUGAAUGAGCCGAUGUCGGAUUAGCUAGUUGGCGGGGUAAAGGCCCACCAAGGCGACGAUCCGUAGCUGGUCUGAGAGGAUGAUCAGCCACCUUGGAACUGAGACACGGUCCAGACUCCUACGGGAGGCAGCAGUGGGGAAUAUUGGACGAUGGGCGAGAGCCUGAUCCAGCCAUACCGCGUGGGUGAAGAAGGACUUAGGGUUGUAAAGCCCUUUUGUUGGGAAAGAAAAGCAGCAGGUUAAUACCCCGCUGUUCUGACGGUACCCAAAGAAUAAGCACCGGCUAACUUCGUG